CCCGCCGGCGACCGGCGCACGGGUGAGUAACACGUAUGAAACCUGCCCGUAGCAGGGGGAUAAGCGGAAGAAAUUCCGUCUAAUACCGCGUAACAACCCAUGGAGGCAUCUCUGUGGGUUUAAAGGAAGCGAUUCCGGCUACGGAUGGUCAUGCGUCGCAUUAGCUUGUUGGCGGGGUAACGGCCCACCAAGGCGACGAUGCGUAGGGGUUCUGAGAGGAAGGUCCCCCGCACUGGUACUGAGACACGGACCAGACUCCUACGGAAGGCAGCAG
rnacentral:rRNA from 1 species